CUAACUGGUAUUUCGUUUGGCAGGCGUUGAGCCACUGCCACAGCCCGGAUUUUCCUGCAGGCAGAGCCCGGCCUUGUUUUGACAGUCAUUUCUGCUGCUUUCUGCUUCUGCCUGGAAGGAUCACACAGUUGCAGAGGUCUGGGGAGGGAUGCACUUGCGGAGAUUCAAAUUGUCAAAGGAAGCUUCCAUCAGAACAAUUAGGAGACCUCAGGCUGUUGUCUUCUGGAAACUUCCUUCGACCAGCAACAGUUUCCCACCCACCAUGCCACUCCCAACAUCCAAAUGGUUUCCAAAGCUGCAGUCAGGCUAGUACAAAUGGGGCUUCUGUCACUUGAAACCGAAAGAGUCCUAGGAAUGUCACCUGACUCCCUUUCACUCACUGUGAGCUGUGGAAUCCCUGUGACUGCACUCCGUCAGCUUCUUGUUUACAGAAUCAAGAAAAGUUCUUGAAAGCUACCAUUUUGAAGAGAGAUGUGAAGGGAAGAGACUUUCACUUUCCACUUGUCUAUAUUGUCUGAAUCUCAUAACCUGGUUGAGAAGGAUGCCCUAGACUCCGCUGCCUCCCCUUGGUGACCCCAGCCCACAUGAUUACAUAUCUUCUACUUCUAAGAAGGAGCCAGGACCCGCUGUGCCCCAUGUAACAUGUAACAGCCAGGCCAGACCAUCUGGAGAGUUCCAGACCCAUCCAGAAGGAAUUUUUACUGGUGAGCCCAUUGGUUGUCAGAUGGGUCCUCGUUCCAGACUCCAUGCAGUUCACCCAGGGAGUACCUGAGAACAUCCGAGCGCACCCCAUGGGACGAGAGCUACACACAGUCUCUUCAUGAAAUAAAGCAAACAAGUAGCUCCACAACUUUUUGAAGCUCUAACAAGAUCUCUCUGGUGAAACACAAAAUACUUCAGAAGACUGAGUAGAAGACAAAAACAUUCAUUCAUUCAUUUUUGGAGUUCAGGAGCAAUGGAUUGAGUUAAUUAUACUCCUCAGCUCAUGGAGCAUUGUCACCACUGGCCUGGUUUCCAGCAUGACACCUCCCAGCGUCAUCCCAAAGCAUCUGAUUCACACCUCCCAGCAGCAGCCAUGCCUCGGUACCAAGCACUCCUCUAACUCUGCUCUCAUACAACUGCAGAUACUGGGAGUCUUCUGCUCUGCUCUGCCAGUCGUCCCUGCCGUUUCAGCAGCUGAGUCUGUCCUCAAGCCCUGUCCUUCACUGGACUUGGACAAUUUCAGCUGGGUUGCCCUGCUACUGACCAGCAGCAGCCUUCACACUGCCGUACCUUGUUUUCUUCCUCCAGCCCUCCUUCCUCUAGCGUCUCCUAAAUGUGAACGGUUUCCAUUUUCUGUUCUAUGCUAAGCCCACCUCUUUUCUUUGUGAAGAGUUUCCACCCAAAAUUUCACCAGAUCCCGUUAUUUCAAAUAUCAUUUCCUUGCCAGUGCCUCCUAAACCGGCAUUCUGCCCUGACCUCACUCCCAAGCCCCAGCUCUGCUUUUUUUCUUUUCUUUUCUUUUUGCCUCCUGGAGUGAUUUUCUAGGGACACAGAUCAGUAUCUCCAAAAGGAAGCUCACAUCUUACAGCCCAUUCAUUCUCCACUCUCGUCAUCUUCAUUUCUAGUAAGUUUCCUGCAUUGUCUCUGCUCUUAUCCAUUCAUUCACCAAACAUCUGCUGAGCACACACAUUCUAUGAGCCCAGGGAGAGGCUCUACUUUGUCCCCCUCCUGUUCCUCACAGCCUGUCUGCCACCAAGUCCUGCUGCAUCCAGCCCCUCCUUUCAGAAUAUACCUCCUAAUCUUGGAUCAUUCAAGGAAUGUUGUCCACAUGUGCAAACAAAAUAAUUUCAGCUCUCCCUUUUGAAACAGAAAAUUUGAAGUUAGAAAUAUGAGUCUCUGCUGAAGAAGGAAAUUACCUUUAAAUUAAAAGGAAAUCAUGAGAUAAGUCACUUAAACAGAAAAGUACCUUAUUUAUUUGGAUGCUGUGCCCUAAAGUUUCUUUAUCUUACUUUCAAGGAAGCUAGAUAUACAACCCAGUGAAUUACAGAGCUUUGUUUAGCCAAGUAAGCAGUUUGAAACAGAGGACUUUAAAUCAGAUUAAAUGCUUUAUUCACCGUCAUGAGUGACAGAUUUUCCUCUUUGUAGCUUUCCCCCAUUCAGUGCCAAGUGAUAAAGACUGUCUUCCUAGCAAGUUGUUCUUUAUGAGUGCGUGUUUACCUGCCUGAAUCAAUAAUCAUAUUGCUACAGAUAUAAAGAUUCAUGAGACAUGCUUUAGAUAACCAUGAAAAGUCAUAAAAGAUAAUUUACUAAUUUUAUAGCUAUCUUCUCUUCACCUCUAUCUGAACUUAAAAUAAACCUACUGCACAUUUUUUGCUUUUUCUUGCCAGGGCUAAUACCUUUAUCCUUUUAUUCACUAAAAUCUUCAAUAUGAUUUCCAGCAUUUGAAACUGCCCCCUUUACUCUCUUCACUGUGCUCGAGUGCUACUAAAAGUCUUCUGCUUGUUGUUGUGGGCUGAAUGGUGUUCCCUAAAAAUCUUCGUUGAAUCCCUAACUCCCAGGACCUGUGAAUGUGAACUUACUUGGAAGAAGGGUCUUUGCAGUUGUCAUCAAGCUAAAAUGAGGUCAUGCUGGAUUAGGGUGGGCCUAAUUCAGAGACUGGUGUCUUUAUGAGAGAAAAGAGAAGAGAGUGAUUUGGACACAGAGACACCGGGGAGAAUGCCAGACGAUGGGAGAGGCAGAAGCUAGACCGAGGCAUCUGCAAACAGAAAAAGCUCCAAGGGUGGCUGGCAGCCACCAGAAGCUGGGAGAAGCAAGGAAGGAUCCUCCAUGAAAGCAUCAGAGGGAGUGUGGCACAGCUGACGUCUUGAUCAUGGACCUUAGGCCUCCAGCACUGUGAGACAAUCCAUGUCUGUUGUUUUAAGCCACCACCACUCUCCCCCCAUCCCCCGCCCCGUGUGUGGUCAUUUAUUAUAAGAGCUCUGGGAAACUAAUAUGGUUACUGAAUUAACUGAUAAACUAACCUAAAGUACA